GUCGUUGUAGUAUAGUGGUGAGUAUUCCCGCCUGUCACUUGGGUGACCCGGGUUCGAUCCCCGGCAACGGCG
rnacentral:tRNA from 1 species